CGCUGACUGUCCGUCUGCUGUGCCAAAAGAGAAUGGAAUAGCCUGCCGUGGAGAAGGCCAGUGUAUUAACGGCAGAUGUAUUACCACAUACUGUAAGGAGCUGGGAGAGAAGGAUAAUCGGCGCUACAGAGCCUGCAUGUGUGAUCAUGACGCUUCUGCAGCCUGCAAGCGCUGCUGUCUGGAGGUCUUUGA